GGCCCUGCGCGAGGCAAGAGGCGUGGUCGCAAGGCCUGGGUUGCCACCAGCUUACCCAUCCCCUGGAGCUAAAGGGGGCGUCCAGCGUUCGAUUUCCCGUGUGCCUGUCUCCAUCCUGGAAUUCCUGACCUCUAUGGAGUGUUCAUUGUGCGCCAAGCACCGUUCCUCAAGACGAGUAGCUGAGGGGGCGUCAUCCUUACUUUUCAGACGAGCAAACUGAGGCCCGAGGAUUUCCCACCUGCACGAUGGCAGUUCCUGCUUCACUGUUCUGCAAGUGUCCACUCUUCACCCAUGGAGUUAGUCACACAGCAGCCAAGUCCCAAGCCGGGUCUGGUGAUGCACACCCUACGCACAGGAAGCAGAGGCAGGCAGAUCUCAGUUCCAGGCCAUCCAGGGGUACAUAGGGAAAUCCUAUCUUAAAAUUCAUAAUAGAGGGGCUGGAGAGAUGGCUCACUGGUUAAGAGCACUGACUGCUCUUCCAGAGGUCCUGAGUUCAAAUCCCAGCAACCACAUGGUGGCUCACAAUCUGUAAUGAGAUCUGAUGCCCUCUUCUUGUGUGUCUGAAGACAGCUACAGUGUACUCAUAUACAAUAAAUAAAUAAAAUCUUUAAAAAAAUUCAUAAUAGUAAUAAUAAUUCUAAGUGUAACAAAAGUACAUUAAAAUAAUUAUUGAUUCAAGUGCAAUGUUAUACUGAAAUGUAUUCAGACAUAUGCAUAAUAUUUAUAUAUGUAUAUGCUCAGAGUAGAACAGAUAGGAACAGUAAAAACAAAUUGAAUUAUGUCAGAAAAAGAUCCAAAAAGAAGCCAGUCGUGCUGCUGAGUAACAUCUGGCAGGCCCUAGAGUCAGAAUCGAAAGCAGCUGGGUGACAUCAGGUAAAUGAUCAGUGAAGACGCCACUUUUAUCCUUCCCUGUUUGCCCAGUCCCCAGGAAGGGAUUGACUUGUGUCCCUUCUUCGAAGUAGGGUUGGUUCUAAGACUGUUGCCCAAAAGACACACAAGUCCUAGGGUGAAGCCCUCAAGCCUAGGGCUUAAGAAUGCUGACAGCUCCUACUUUCUCCUUCCUGGCCCCAACUCUCCCUCUCUGAGAAGCCAGAGGGAAUGGGAGCACACCAGUUCACAGAGGCUGAGAUCCCAGGCAAGACCCAACAGCAUCUGCCUGCCUUGCAGGAUCUUAAAGCUGCAGCCCAAGUUAGUUUCGAACUCACGGCGGUCCUGGCAUCUGAAGGGCAGCAGCACACCCAACUUUUCUUCUUGUACUUCUUCUCCCCCAUUCAUGUAAUCUUUGCUCGGAUGCCGAUGACCCCCAUUUCAGAGAUGCGGGAAAGGAGGCUUUGAACAAAUCAGUCACUCAACCAAGGAUGUACACCUGGCCAAGCCUCGGGCUCUUCCUCAUUGCACCUCUUCACCUAUGUGCAAGCAACAGAUCUUUCCAACAGUCUUCUGGACAUUCCUAGAGGUAGCUCAGCCCUUGACCUUUUGGCUACAAUCAAGAGUAGCAACAGAACUGAAGUUGAUGGCACACAGGGGAGACGGAGGCAGGUAGAUCUGAUUUUGAGACCAGCCUGGCCUACAGAGAGAAUUCCGGGACAUCCAAGGCAACAAAGAGAGACCCUGUCUCAAAAGUAAAAUAAAAUAAAAUAAAAUGCUGAGUACAAUCACCA